AGCUCAACGAGAUAAUUAAGAAGAGUCAUGAGACUAUAUGAGAUAUGAUCCGAUCCAUGAUGGACUUCAUUGAUUUAUUUUUAUUUCUUUAGGGACAUACUUUAUUUCUAUGGAAUUGGGUUCUCUCUAAAUCUGUUCCCACUACACCGUAUGAUAUAUGACAUGAUGAGAACUGAAUCUUGAUUAUUUCAAGAUUCAAGGAUGUCCAGCCUAUGUCAAGGAUAGCAAGCGGAUAUAUUAGAGGAUGGAUCUAUAAAGCUCAUUUCAAAGAAUAUCUUAAAAGAGUUUGGGAUACUAUUUUUCUUCUGAAAAGAUUACAAUGUGAUUGUGACCUGACAUGCUAUCUUCUUAAAAAUUAUUUAACCAAGAUGAAGCAGCGGGAGGAAAGUUAAGCUCGAAGAGAGUGUCUCUGAAGAGCAGCGAGCCAUAGGACCUAAAGAACCUAUUCAUGAUGUACCAGUAUACAUAUAUUCCUCCUCCAUCUUAUACAUAUAGUAGGAUCUCCCAUCCUCUCGAAAGGUACUU
rnacentral:lncRNA from 1 species